UCAGGGCAUACCAGUCUGAAAAUGCGCUUCAUCACUGCUGGUGACUUAUAACCAAUUUGUGGUAAAUGCAGGCUAAAUACAAAAGGAAGUAUAAGUUGUGAGCCAAAUUUUUGCAAACUGAAGGCAAAUCUUGAAGUCAGGAAUGUGGAAGUUGACUGACAGCUGGAUUUCCUGACUCAGCAAACUGCAAACUUUUAUUCCAAGGAGCAAAUUUCUAACUUUUUCUUCACGUAGGAAUGAUGCUUUGAGCAGGCACAGUGACAUUCCCUGCCAUCUCCUGGAAAUGCCUUGAAGGUUCUCAUGCUGGAGGUAUUCAGAGCACUGUUGGUAACAUACCAAAGUGUUAAACCUACAGGGGAAUCACUGAUCUAAUGCCAGUUCUUUUAUAGAACCAAAACUUCCUUCCAAAAUAGGAAUUUUCUCAAAGCUUCCACUUUUAUAAAAUAAAUUUUCCCACAAAAGAUGACUGCAAUGACAAGUCCCUGUGUACUUAUUCACGUGUUGGCCCAAUUGCUGAACAACUGUACAGAAAGCUCUUACAACAGCAAACUUUGACCUAUUAAUAAAAGUUCUAUUGAUAAAAGAACCUGUACAAAGCUCAUUGCUGUGAUUAUAUUGAUCUGACCAUUUUAUUUUAUGUACAAAUGUAGUUAGAAUGCAGCAAAAGCAGCACUCCCCUACAGUACUGCUAACAAGCAUCAUACAAAAAGAAAGAAGCAAAAUAUAUAUAUAAUUUGUAAGUUGCAUACAUUAAAUGCAUAUAUAUAUGAAAGUGGAUAUUUUUAGCUUCCUCAUCAUCAGGUCAUUAUUUCCUCAUUAGCUGACUAAGUUCUUGUAGGGAUCACGAUUUAAAAAGGCCUGGAGGAGUAAGUUCAAGGAAGCUGUUCUGGACACGAAAGUCAAGGCUGCUAUUAAAAGUCCUAGUACAAAGGAGCCUAUGGACAUAAAAUCUAUCUGCCCAAUGUAUUAAAAAUGGCAAGAGCAAAAGAAAAUCUCGUGUCCUGGAAACUGCAUAGAGCUCAUCUCUCUUGCACUAAGGUAAACAGAUAGACACCACAUGAGACCAUGUUACCCUUCUGCUAGGGUCCUUUACCACACAACACCCAGAUCCUCCUCAUGGAUGUGGGUGCCUACAGCUAAGAAGAGCAAACCAAAAUCAGGGUGUAAAAUGUCCACACCAUCUACUGCUGCCAGCCUGUGAGGAGUCCACCAAAAUAAUAAACCAGCCACAGAAUCUAUGGCUUUUCAGUAUACCUUAGCAUGAAAUUGUGCUUUCCCUCUGUAGAACCACAUGGGUUAGGGAAGCCAUGCUGGUUGCGUGUCCCAGGAGUCUUAUUUCCAAGGGCUGGAGAGAAGACCAAGAAGGUGGAACAGGUGUUGGGUAUCUUCACAAAUAAUGCUGAUCCCCCAACACUGACAGAGCUUUCCAUUGCUAUAUCAAAGUGGGGAUGUGAGAACUUUUGCCUCCUUCCCUGCUCUCAUCACUUCAGUGUUAAACAGGUACGGAAAUUUUCAUGGGGUUAAGCAGAAGGGCCAGCUUUGCAAUCAGUCCAGGACUGUAUAUUUUAUAUGUCUUAGGUCAGGUUCCUCCUUCAGCAAUAUAUGUUAGCAUGAGACAGGAAACAUUCCCAGACACACUUUGGAAUCUGAUGCUGUAAGCGGAAUCUCCAUAGAAACAAACACCUCCCGCUCAGGCACACGGCCACCCCAGCACACUCCCACUUCC